CCUACGGGAGGCAGCAGUGAGGAAUAUUGGUCAAUGGCCGCUAGCCUGAACCAGCCAAGUAGCGUGAAGGAUGACUGCCCUAUGGGUUGUAAACUUCUUUUAUAUAGGAAUAAAGUGAAGUAUGUAUACUGCUUUGCAUGUACCUUAUGAAUAAGGAUCGGCUAACUCCGUGCCAGCAGCCGCGGUAAUACGGAGGAUCCGAGCGUUAUCCGGAUUUAUUGGGUUGAAAGGGAGCGUAGGCGGGUUGUUAAGUCAGUUGUGAAAGUUUGCGGCUCAACCGUAAAAUUGCAGUUGAUACUGGCAGCCUUGAGUACAGUUGAGGUAGGCGGAAUUCGUGGUGUAGCGGUGAAAUGCUUAGAUAUCACGAAGAACUCCGAUUGCGAAGGCAGCCUGCUGGACUGUAACUGACGCUGAUGCUCGAAAGUGUGGGUAUCAAACAGGAUUAGAUACCCUUGUAGUC
rnacentral:rRNA from 1 species